rnacentral:rRNA from 1 species
UAUACAUGCAGUCGAGCGAUGGAUUAAGAGCUUGCUCUUAUGAAGUUAGCGGCGGACGGGUGAGUAACACGUGGGUAACCUGCCCAUAAGACUGGGAUAACUCCGGGAAACCGGGGCUAAUACCGGAUAACAUUUUGAACCGCAUGGUUCGAAAUUGAAAGGCGGCUUCGGCUGUCACUUAUGGAUGGACCCGCGUCGCAUUAGCUAGUUGGUGAGGUAACGGCUCACCAAGGCAACGAUGCGUAGCCGACCUGAGAGGGUGAUCGGCCACACUGGGACUGAGACACGGCCCAGACUCCUACGGGAGGCAGCAGUAGGGAAUCUUCCGCAAUGGACGAAAGUCUGACGGAGCAACGCCGCGUGAGUGAUGAAGGCUUUCGGGUCGUAAAACUCUGUUGUUAGGGAAGAACAAGUGCUAGUUGAAUAAGCUGGCACCUUUGACCGGUACCUAACCCAGAAAGCCACGGCUAACUACGUGCCAACCAGCCGCCGGUAAUACGUAAGUGGCAAGCGUUAAUCGGAAUUAUUGGCGUAAACCGCGCCGCAGGUGGUUUCUUAGUUGGAGG